rnacentral:rRNA from 1 species
GACGAACCGUGCGAACGUUGUUCGGAAUCACUGGGCUUAAAGGGCGCGUAGGCGGCCUGCUAAGUCGAACGUGAAAUCCCUGGGCUCAACCCAGGAACUGCGUCCGAUACUGGUUGGCUUGAAUCCGGGAGAGGGAUGUGGAGUUCCAGGUGUAGCGGUGAAAUGCGUAGAUAUCUGGGGGAAGGCCGGCGGCGAAGGCGCCCUUCUGGGAGAUUCCUGACACUGAGGCGCGAAAGCGUGGGGAGCAAACAGG